GCCUCUCCGGUAGCCUAGUGGUUAGAGCAUCCGCCUUAGAUGCGGAAGGUCGUGGGUUGGAUCCACGGUCGAGUCA